GCAGCCGAGCCGGUGCCCUCCACCUCGCGGGAUGUCAGGCCACCUGCAAGGCCCCGGGUGCGGCCCACGGCGCCUCGUGCCACCCCCCGAAUGUCGAGGCAGGAGCGGCACGACGAGGCUGCCAUGCAGGCAGUCGCCAACCAGACUCGGCAGGUGCAGCAGAACGAGACGAGGGACGCGCGGGACGUGGAGUUCCAAGGCCAGCUCCUGCGUUCAAUCGAUACCCUCAGCCACC